rnacentral:lncRNA from 1 species
CACCCUGCCCUGCAGCGCAUGCUGAGGUGUGGUACUCCGGCCCAAAACCCAGUCACUGAAUCAUUACCAGACCCCUCACCUGACCCAUACCUCCUGCCUUGUUCCUAGUCUUCCAACUCACCUGCCAUCAACAUUUCUAUUUUCCUUCCCCAUUAUUCCUUUAUCUUGCCCUAAAAUGCUUUGCAUGUUUUUGUGUCUCUCCCUUCACCUCUAAUUAUUACUAUUUCUCUCUAUCACAGAGAAUGCAAAAGUGGACCUUUUCCCAACUUGACCCAACAUUCAGGAACCCUCUGCCCAUUUGGGUAUAUUACCUCAAGAAGGAAUGGUGUUGUAAACAGGGCUCAGACAUGUAAGCCCUUCCAGGUCCACCUUUGCCCCCAAAGUCCUGAGUGAGUUGGAUUUUCUGGGGUACGUUCAGGAAACUUACUGUGCCAGAGCACAGGCAUGUAUCUGAGUGAACUGAUUGCAUUUCAGCAGCUUCCCUGGAGCCAAGUCUUCUCACAAUUUUUUCAAUAAAAUAUUCCGGCAAUAGUCUUAUUUCUCUCCU